rnacentral:rRNA from 1 species
ACUUUUUUAGAAAUUAAUCUAAGAAUUAAAAAGUUCUUUUAUUUUAGAAAGACGACAAGACCCUAAAAUCUUUACUAAAUUAGUUUUGCUGGGGCGGCAAAUAGUUCAACACAAUAUUUUAAACCAUUUUGAAUGAUUUUUUCUAACCUAUAUGUAAAUAUAAAGAUACUUUAGGGAUAACAGAAUUAUUUCUAUUGAGAGUUCGUAUCUACAUAGGAGUUUAUUACCUCGAUGUUGAAUUGAAUCCCCUUUAUAGAGCAGUCUCUGUAUAAGUAAGUCUGUUCGACUUUUAAAAGUUCACAUGAUCUGAGUUCAAACCGGAC